CCUACGGGGGGCAGCAGUGGGGAAUAUUGCGCAAUGGGGGCAACCCUGACGCAGCCAUGCCGCGUGAAUGAAGAAGGCCUUCGGGUUGUAAAGUUCUUUCGGUAGCGAGGAAGGCACUUAGUUUAAUAAACUAGGUGAUUGACGUUAACUACAGAAGAAGCACCGGCUAACUCCGUGCCAGCAGCCGCGGUAAUACGGAGGGUGCGAGCGUUAAUCGGAAUAACUGGGCGUAAAGGGCACGCAGGCGGUGACUUAAGUGAGGUGUGAAAGCCCCGGGCUUAACCUGGGAAUUGCAUUUCAUACUGGGUCGCUAGAGUACUUUAGGGAGGGGUAGAAUUCCACGUGUAGCGGUGAAAUGCGUAGAGAUGUGGAGGAAUACCGAAGGCGAAGGCAGCCCCUUGGGAAUGUACUGACGCUCAUGUGCGAAAGCGUGGGGAGCAAACAGGAUUAGAUACCCGGGUAGUC
rnacentral:rRNA from 1 species